rnacentral:lncRNA from 1 species
UUCUUCCCCUCUCCUCAACCCCCUGAAGCCUAGGAUGCUUGUUAAAAAUAGCCUUGCUGUGGCAUGGAUCCUACACAACCCAACGGCUGGCAGAAAAAUUAAGGAGCCACUGGAGACAGCGCUGUUAAGUGGCUACCCCUGGGGAGUGGAAUGGGGAGGGCCAGGAGGGAGGGAGGUGCUUUCAAGUGUUGCCGGACACACUUCUACAUUGCCUGGAUUUUUAACAACAAGCAGAUAUAAAAUAAGUUCAUUGUUUUUUACUGGAGUUUCAUCCUUUGCAUCCUCCAGCCUACGUUUAAGGCUGAAUUCAUACUUAGUGACCCGACAGUACCUGCUGGCUGGCCUGGCAGUGCUCCAAGGAGACCCAGGACGCUCAGGCCACCCGGUACAAACACAGCCCAGCAUCAAGAAAACAGCACUGAAUCAGUCAGUCUUGGAUCUGUAACCAGCUGGCUGUGCGACCUUAGCCCACACUCUGGAGGCCGCAUUGCUGGCUGGUUAAGAAAUGUGGGCUCUGGAAUCAGGUUUGUAUCCCAGCUCCACCACCUAUCAGCUGUGUGACCUUGGAUUCCACUGGAACAUCUGAACUCCCUGCUCAGGGAUGGAACCAGCAAAGAGCCUGGAGGUUGUGGUCACAAAAGAGAAUUGGAGUUUUCCAGCAGGGAGGGAUGAACCCAGGAAGCCCUUGAGGAUUGCUGCCACUCAAAAUCCCCUGGACUCUUGUUGGUGACGGGGCAGGAGUGGAGAGGAGGACAAAGCCGGCAGCCAGCAAAGGAGGGCCCAAGUUCAAAGGUGUUAAAAGACCCGUGGCUUUGGGUGUCUCAACCAGCAAACUUCUCCUCCCUCACGGACUUUCUACAGGCUUGCAAGCCAACUGGUUUCCCCAGUGGGGAAAGUAUACCACCACUGUCUAAAAGGAGGGCCUCUCGCCAUGGAUGUGCUACAAGAGGAGAUAACAAAUGCAUUUGGGUUUCCAAUGGCCCAGCUGCACCGUGUUAAGAAAAACGCCGUUUUCCUGCUCUUAAUCCAUUCCUGGUGGAGAUGUUGCUUCAACUUGAAGGAGCCUUUUAUGUGCUGAAGUCAACUGCAAUCUAAAAGAUAAGUUAAAUCACUUAUUCAGGAAGACAGGAAGCCUUUGACAGCAGUGACUGAUUAAGAUUUCACAGCAGCCAGAGCCAGGCCUACGGAACCCAAAGAGUGCUCGUUCCCUCACCAACCAGCACUGUUGGCCCCUCCUUGGCAGCAAGCCAAGCUCAGAAUCCUACCCUCGGGGAGAUUUCCCUCUGACAGAGCAUGGAGGGGGCUGGAGCAGACAGAGGGGAGUGCUAAGUCCCAGCAGGUGAACCUGAGAGCCCUGAUGACAGGAACUAGAGAUACCCCACCCUCUGCCCAGCCCCCUUCCUCACCUCCAUUUAGCCUUGGCCUGGUCUCCCAUGGUCAGCUCAAGGGUCCCCUCUUCCAGGAAGCCUUCCCUGACCCUACAGGCCAGGACUCGCAGGUGCCUUUACACAACAUGUUCCUAGAGCACUUGUACUUUACCCCAUCCUCGCACCUUUGACUCUGAAGACUUGCCUGUCACCUGGCAUGGCAGCCACUUGACUGUGAGCACUCUGGGGGCAGCACAUGGUACCAUGCUGGAUGCCCACUAAGCUCUUGGCACGUGUUUGGAAGGCAGAGGAACCUGAGCUCAGGGAACAGAGUGACUACCUGCCUUGCCAGUGUCACCUGCCAGCUUAUCCAAGUGCUCACAGCCCUGCUGGCUGCUAACCACUGGGCCAGGCCCUGGGGGCAUCCGCAGUAUUCCAACAGGGCUUCUUGUCCUAAAAUGCCACCCAGGCCCCAAAGGCCCACUGUUAGAAUCCACUCUUUUAGCAAAGCAUCACCUCCAGAAAGUUCCCAUCCCCAAGAGGAGGCACAGUCUCACCCUGUGGUCCUCUUCAUCUGCUUGGCCAGCCAGGGAUGGGGCUCAGGGGAAGGAUUAAUCUAGGGCCCAGGAUGCUGACCAGGGUGAGCAGGCUGGAGGAGGCACUGGGGUGGGCAGUCCAUGGGCAGCCUGGGGGCACUGGGUCCAGAAGAUGAAAGUAUGCCUCAAGGGCAUCAAGGUAAGAUCCCAACUUUACACAUGAACAAAACCCUCAGAAGAGCAGAACUGGGCUAAGUUCAGGACAGAAGAGAUGUGCAAGCAGGUGAGCAAAUGAUGUCAAGGUUGGAGGUGAGCUGAAAGGCGCAGGGGGUAGCUCUGUGGAAAGCACAGUGUUCACUGUGUUGGGAGGGCUGGGACCCAAGUUACUCCACCCCUAGUCCCCCACUUCUGCACCAGUGGUAGCCCUGGGCAGGCCAUCAACCUUAGAUAUCUGAAUAUGAGAAUCAUCAUCUGCCCUGCCUGCCUUGCACAACUACUGCUCUACAUUAAAUCAGAAAGGAGAUGAGAAAAUUCUCUAGAAGCCUAAAAGCAAUAUAGAAAUAGAAACUGUUGUAACAAUCAUCAUUUGCUUUUUCAGAGUGUCUUGCAGCCUGUAUAGGGCUUUCCUAUCCAGUAACCUCCUAACCCUCAAAACAACUCUGGGAGAUAGGUAUGGAUAUGUAUACUCAAUUUACAGAUGUGAAAACUGAGGAACAGAUAGUUCCAGCCCAGAAUCACACCAAUAACAAGGGGCUGAGGUGACAGCUAUGUCCAGGUCUUCUGCUGCAAAUAGAGUAUUCUAUUUACCACACCAAGAUGUACCCUCCAUUGUCUAAAAUCACAAGCUCUGGCUGUACAGAAAACCCUCCUUAUUCUUCAGUCUUUCUAUGGAUUUGUUGAUUCCUCCUCCUUCUUCAAUCCAUCCGUGGAUUUGCUGAUUGACAAAUGAGCUUCCCUGGUCUCCUUGUCAUGGCACUGUUUGGGGGAGUUUGUGGUCAGAGUUUUUAUCUGAGGACAAGAAACCAGGCUGCAGCCUGGGCUCAGCCUCUUAUCCAUUGUGGGGCUAAGGAAGAGUCCCUGUCCCCCAGUAUUCUCCAAUCCCAUCUGAUGUUAAAACCUCUUAAUGACCCUGAUCUAAGCAUUUCCAGAAAAAGGUUCUCAGGGCCUUUCUGGGGGUGGCGGGGGCAAUCCUUUGUGACAGCAUGAAAAGCCGGAUGGGGCUGGCCUGGUUGCAAUGGCACACGCUAGGUUCCAGGCACUCCACACGUUUCUCAUGAUAACCUCGUGGUUGAUACUCACACAGAUGAGGAGCUGAAAGGCUGCAGGAGCUGCCCACCAUCCUCACACAGCGUGGAAGUGGUAGCACCAAGACUGAGGCCCAGGAGGGGGGUCCAAAGGGCCAUCCUGCAUUUUCCAUUGCAGCAGGGUGGGAAGGAGAGGGAGAUAGAGACUUUACCUCUACUCUAAAUCACCUCCUUAGGUUGCCAUAUUUUCCUUACUUCAAUGAAUUAUGUGGAACAAAAUACACUCAAUUGGUAGCAGAAAUCGGCCUCCAGUUUCUCAGAUCCUCAUUCAACGAAAGCAUCCUUUGCAGGUGCCACUGCUUGGGAAUACACCUGUAAUUCACAUCUGCACACAAAACUCCAUCUUUCUUUGAGGCCUGAACAAACAGGUUUUUGUCGUUUUGUGGUUUUUGUUUGUUUGUUUG